rnacentral:siRNA from 1 species
UUCAAAUCAAUCUCCUGAUAAUGC